GCAGCAAGAAUACUCAUCGCAAAGUAUUGGAAGACACAAGAACUUCCCACGCUGGAGGAAUGGCAGAUGAAACUGAUGGACUAUAUGGAACUGGCGGAAAUGACUGGCAGAAUCCGUGACCAGGGAGAAGAGUCGGUGGAGGAAGAUUGGAAGAAAUUCAAAGAUUAUCUACAGAAACACUGCAAAAUUAAAGAAUGUUAGAGUGAUGUUGGAUUAAAAAUAAGUGGUUUCCAGCUGUACAGGAUUCAAAGUUAUAGAUAGACUAAGAUUAAAGAUUAGGAUUAAAGAAGUUGAAGGAAAUAGAAAUUUGGUAUUUAAGAGGUAAAAUUUUAAUGCUAUAUUAUAUUAAGAUUAAAGAUUGGGAUUAAAAAAGUGGAAAAGAAAUUGCUGGACAAACAAUUUGGACUGGAAUACAAAAGAGGGAGGUAUGAGGAGGUCCAGAAAAUAAGUAAAUUUAAAAACGGAAAUGAAAAGGUGAUAUUGUUUUUAAUUGUUCUGUUUCUUUUUAUUUGUUUUUUGUUUUCUGUGUUUUUUAUUCUUCUUUGGAUUAUGUAUUGUGUAUUUGUGUAUUUCUUUUCUAUGUUUUUCUGUUUAAUCUUUUACUGAAAUUUUAAUAAAAAUCAUUU